GCUGCGAUAGUCUAGUGGUAUGAUGCUUCCUUCACAUUUCGGUGUACGGAAGAGGUCGCGAGUUCAAACCUCGCUCGCAGCU